rnacentral:rRNA from 1 species
UACGUAGGUCCCGAGCGUUGUCCGGAUUUAUUGGGCGUAAAGCGAGCGCAGGUGGUUUAUUAAGUCUGGUGUAAAAGGCAGUGGCUCAACCAUUGUAUGCAUUGGAAACUGGUAGACUUGAGUGCAGGAGAGGAGAGUGGAACUCCAUGUGUAGCGGUGAAAUACGUAGAUAUAUGGAGGAACACCGGUGGCGAAAGCGGCUCUCUGGCCUGUAACUGACACUGAGGCUCGAAAGCGUGGGGAGCAAACAGG